rnacentral:misc_RNA from 1 species
ACACCUCAACUCUCAUGGCUUGCCAUGAUGAGCUUGGACUUUGGGGGUCUUGCCGGCCUAUGGUUGGCUCCUCUCAAAUGGAUCAGCUUGCCAGUGUUUGGUGGCAUCACAAGUGUGAUAACUAUCUACGCUUGUGGUUUUCCAUCAGGUAACCUUCAGUGAUGGAGGUUCGCUGGUGCUCAUAAACGUCUUUCCUUGGUGAAGACAGCUUUUCGAAC